GGCCUGCUAGCUCAGUAUUAAAGCAUCGUGCUAACAACGCGAAGGUCGUAGGUUCGAUCCCUGCACAGGUCA